rnacentral:lncRNA from 10 species
GCGCGCCAGAUGCCCGGAGCGGGCACCGGCACUGAGGGAAGGUGUGAGCUGCCGCCGAGGGUCCCAGGCGGAACGCGGGAAGGGAGCAGGGUCUCCCUGUCACCCAGACUCACUGCAGUCCCAACUUCCCAGGCUCAGAUGAUCCUCCCACCUGAGCCUCUGCAGUAGCUGAGAUCACAGUAUGCACCACUACACCCCACUAAUUCUUUUAUUUUUGGUAAAGACACGUUUAGGAGGGACAUUUAGGUUUCUCUAUGUUGCCCAGGUUGGUCACGAACUCCUGACCUCAAAUGAUCUGCCUGCCUUGGCCUCCCGAAGUGCUGGGAUUACAGACCUGAGCCACCGCACUCAGCCCUAUUGUGUCCAGAAUUGGUGGGCUCUUGGUCUCACUGACUUCAAGAAUGAAGCCACAGACCCUGGUGGUUUAUUUAACAAUGUGAAGUAGUCCUGGGAAGUUGUACUUUGAGCAAGGUCCGCAAGCAGUAUUCCUGCACUUCUCCAGUCAUGCCCCAGCGCCAGGUCGGAAGCUGUCCACAUGCGGGGAUGGAGCCUGGCGUCCUGGGCCCACAAGGACAGGGCCCUGAAUAUGGACUUAGCAGAACAAAGUUGGGAAGGCAACUGCACUCACCCCUUGUGCCUCCUGUGGUACCUGCCCUUCACGGUUCCUGGUGGGGACACUCAGGCACCAGCUUCAUGGCUGGACUCAGAUGACACAACGCCAGGAAAAAAAGUAAAAGCCCCAUUACCCUUUCCAAUGCCUAGAUAAAAUAGAUGUCUAAUAAAAACCUGCUAAUAAUCAUUUAUUGUUUGUUUAUAUACAAUUAAAACAAACAUUAAAACAAUCAUUUAAAAACACUCUUUUUUAAUGAGUGUGGGAUAAGGACGAUGAUGGCCUAUGGGGCUCCCUGUCUUACAGCCCUUGUCCUCAGGCCAUGAUUUGACCUCAGAAUGAUGGUGACUCUAGCAAGGCACUGGGAAGCCAGAUUCUGCUGCAUUUGUGUGCAAAUCCUCU